rnacentral:rRNA from 1 species
UGGUGGCGACCGGCGCACGGGUGAGUAACGCGUAUGCAACCCAUCUAUCAGAGGGGAAUAACCCGGCGAAAGUCGGACUAAUACCGCAUAAAACAGGGGCACCGCAUGGUGAUAUUUGUUAAAGGAAUUCGCUGAUAGAUGGGCAUGCGUUCCAUUAGGUAGUUGGUGAGGUAACGGCUCACCAAGCCGACGAUGGAUAGGGGAACUGAGAGGUUGGUCCCCCACACUGGUACUGAGACACGGACCAGACUCCUACGGGAGGCAGCAGUGAGGAAUAUUGGUCAAUGGGCGAGAGCCUGAACCAGCCAAGUCGCGUGAAGGAAGAAGGAUCUAUGGUUCGUAAACUUCUUUUGCAGGGGAAUAAAGUGCAGGACGUGUCCUGUUUUGUAUGUACCCUGAGAAUAAGGAUCGGCUAACUCCGUGCCAGCAGCCGCGGUAAUACGGAGGAUCCGAGCGUUAUCCGGAUUUAUUGGGUUUAAAGGGUGCGUAGGUGGUUUGAUAAGUCAGCGGUGAAAGUUUGCAGCUUAACUGUAAAAAUGCCGUUGAAACUGUCGGACUUGAGUGUAAAUGAGGUAGGCGGAAUGCGUGGUGUAGCGGUGAAAUGCUUAGAUAUCACGAAGAACUCCGAUUG